CCUACGGGUGGCUGCAGUGGGGAAUCUUGGACAAUGGGCGAAAGCCUGAUCCAGCCAUGCCGCGUGUGUGAAGAAGGCCUUCGGGUUGUAAAGCACUUUCAGUGGGGAAGAAAGCCUUGGGGCUAAUACCCUCGAGGAAGGACAUCACCCACAGAAGAAGCACUGGCUAACUCCGUGCCAGCAGCCGCGGUAAUACGGAGGGUGCGAGCGUUAAUCGGAAUUACUGGGCGUAAAGCGCGCGUAGGCGGUCUGAUAAGCCGGUUGUGAAAGCCCCGGGCUCAACCUGGGAACGGCAUCCGGAACUGUCAGGCUAGAGUGCAGGAGAGGAAGGUAGAAUUCCCGGUGUAGCGGUGAAAUGCGUAGAGAUCGGGAGGAAUACCAGUGGCGAAGGCGGCCUUCUGGACUGACACUGACGCUGAGGUGCGAAAGCGUGGGUAGCAAACAGGAUUAGAUACCCGGGUAGUC
rnacentral:rRNA from 1 species